rnacentral:rRNA from 1 species
AUGCACGCUGGCGGCGUGCCUAAUCCAUGCAAGUCGAGCGAACAGAUGAGGAGCUUGCUCCUCUGACGUUAGCGGCGGACGGGUGAGUAACACGUGGAUAACCUACCUAUAAGCCUGGGAUAACUUCGGGAAACCGGAGCUAAUACCGGAUAAUAUAUUGAACCGCAUGGUUCAAUAGUGAAAGACGGUUUUGCUGUCACUUAUAGAUGGAUCCGCGCCGCAUUAGCUAGUUGGUAAGGUAACGGCUUACCAAGGCAACGAUGCGUAGCCGACCUGAGAGGGUGAUCGGCCACACUGGAACUGAGACACGGUCCAGACUCCUACGGGAGGCAGCAGUAGGGAAUCUUCCGCAAUGGGCGAAAGCCUGACGGAGCAACGCCGCGUGAGUGAUGAAGGUCUUCGGAUCGUAAAACUCUGUUAUUAGGGAAGAACAAAUGUGUAAGUAACUAUGCACGUCUUGACGGUACCUAAUCAGAAAGCCACGGCUAACUACGUG